rnacentral:rRNA from 1 species
UGGGGAAUAUUGGACAAUGGGGGCAACCCUGAUCCAGCAAUGCCGCGUGCGUGAAGAAGGCCUGCGGGUUGUAAAGCACUUUUGUUGGGGAGGAAGUUGUUUUUUUGAAUAGAGAAGACAAUUGACGUUACCCAAAGAAAAAGCACCGGCUAACUCCGUGCCAGCAGCCGCGGUAAUACGGAGGGUGCAAGCGUUAAUCGGAAUUACUGGGCGUAAAGGGCGCGUAGGUGGUUGAAUAAGUUGGCUGUGAAAUCCCUGGGCUUAACCUAGGGUGGUCAGUCAAUACUGUUGAACUAGAGUACGGGAGAGGGUAGUGGAAUUUCAGGUGUAGCGGUGAAAUGCGUAGAGAUCUGAAGGAACACCAGUGGCGAAGGCGACUACCUGGCACAAUACUGACACUGAGGCGCGAAAGCGUGGGGAGCAAACAGGAUUAGAUACCCCUGUAGUCC